UACCCGAUAAAACAAAAACGAAAACGGAUGUUCUUCCUAAAAGUAACAUUAACGAAAUUAUAAGCAGUCAAUGGAAAUACAUGGAAUCCAACAUCCUAGCUGACUUUGCUGCAAUUUUUCAUACAGACUAUGAAAACAGUACUAGCGUUCUUUAAUUCUUUAAAACGUUGUAGUGUUGUAACAAAUUACUUUUCAUCAACUAUAUUGAGUAUAUGUACAAAAAUAAAUGAAUGAAGGUUAGAAUGGAAAACUGAUGAAGAUCAAGGUUAUAAUUAUGAUCUACAUAUUGAUCAAUUUGAAGCAGAUUUUGUUCUAAAGAGGGAAAUAAAUAAACAGCGUGUUUUAUAAGGAUGUUCAAUUAUUAACACAACAACAAAAAUAUUCAUUAUAUGAGAGAUAAAUGGAAAUAAGUGUAAAUAAAGACACUUUAUUUUCUUUUUCUAUUCACACUUUUUAGUAAGUAGCUAUAGAUAGACUUAAUAUUUUUUAAACCCUCUUUCCAAAUUAUUUGCAAUCUUUUAUAAUCUUGUUCAAUUUGGUCGUCCUGAGAUAUUGGUUAAUGUAUCUAGUGCUGGCAGUUUUUGUUGUUGUUUGUUUUACUUUCAAGAUACAUGAUCCUAGAAUAGGCAAUGGAUACCGUUUGUAUGCAGAUAAAACUGGUUUAUCCCUGUCAC